CCUACGGGUGGUUGCAGUGGGGAAUAUUGCACAAUGGGCGCAAGCCUGAUGCAGCCAUGCCGCGUGUGUGAAGAAGGCCUUCGGGUUGUAAAGCACUUUCAGCGGGGAGGAAGGCGGUGAGGUUAAUAACCUCAUCGAUUGACGUUACCCGCAGAAGAAGCACCGGCUAACUCCGUGCCAGCAGCCGCGGUAAUACGGAGGGUGCAAGCGUUAAUCGGAAUUACUGGGCGUAAAGCGCACGCAGGCGGUCUGUCAAGUCGGAUGUGAAAUCCCCGGGCUCAACCUGGGAACUGCAUUCGAAACUGGCAGGCUAGAGUCUUGUAGAGGGGGGUAGAAUUCCAGGUGUAGCGGUGAAAUGCGCAGAUAUCAGGAGGAACACCGAUGGCGAAGGCAGGUCUCUGGGCCACUACUGACGCUGAGAAGCGAAAGCAUGGGGAGCGAACAGGAUUAGAUACCCCGGUAGUC
rnacentral:rRNA from 1 species